rnacentral:rRNA from 1 species
GAUGAACGCUGGCGGCGUGCUUAACACAUGCAAGUCGAGCGAGAAGUUUUGAAAAGAUUCUUCGGAUGAAAUUUAAAAUGGAAAGCGGCGGACGGGUGAGUAACGCGUAGGCAACCUGCCCCAUACAAAGGGAUAGCAUUUGGAAACGAAUAUUAAUACCUUAUGAAACUUAACUAGUGCAUGCUAGGUAGGUCAAAGAUUUAUCGGUAUGGGAUGGGCCUGCGUCUGAUUAGCUAGUUGGUGAGGUAACGGCUCACCAAGGCGACGAUCAGUAGCCGACCUGAGAGGGUGAACGGACACAUUGGAACUGAGACACGGUCCAAACUCCUACGGGAGGCAGCAGUGGGGAAUAUUGCACAAUGGGGGAAACCCUGAUGCAGCAACGCCGCGUGAACGAUGAAGGCCUUUGGGUCGUAAAGUUCUGUUCUAGGUGAUGAAAACUGACAGUAACCUAGGAGAAAGCCCCGGCUAACUCCGUG